UGGCUCAUUAAAUCAGUCAUAAUUUAUUUGAUAGUACCUUUACCUGGAUAACCGUGGUAAUUCUAGAGCUAAUACAUGCUAAAAACCUCGACUUCGGAAGGGGUGUAUUUAUUAGAUAAAAAACCAAUGCCCUUCGGGGCUCCUUGGUGAUUCAUAAUAACUUAACGAAUCGCAUGGCCUUGCGCUGGCGAUGGUUCAUUCAAAUUUCUGCCCUAUCAACUUUCGAUUGUAAAGUAGUGGUUUACAAUGGUUUUAACGGGUAACGGGGAAUUAGGGUUCUAUUCCGGAGAGGGAGCCUGAGAAACGGCUACCACAUCCAAGGAAGGCAGCAGGCGCGCAAAUUACCCAAUCCCAAUUCGGGGAGGUAGUGACAAUAAAUACUGAUACAGGGCUCUUUCGGGUCUUGUAAUUGGAAUGAGAACAAUUUAAAUCCCUUAGAAUCGUUGAGGGAUAUCAUAAGUCAUCUUUGUUAAGAUGGUAACGCCCGGUCUUUCCAAGAACUUCAACCACGAAGAAUUUGGAGCCUAUUUACUUAGGUCUAGAGACUAAUUACGGGCGGGUGCUUGUUAUAAACUACAGCACUUAAGAUAUAGUCCAAGCUAUAGGACAUCCUAUAUGCACUAAAGAACGAGGAACAAUUGGAGGGCAAGUCUGGUGCCAGCAGCCGCGGUAAUUCCAGCUCCAAUAGCGUAUAUUAAAGUUGUUGCAGUUAAAAAGCUCGUAGUUGAACCUUGGGCCUGACCGAUCUGUCCUCCUAAUCGAGCGCACGGAUUCGGUUGGGUCUUUCCUUCUGGGGAUCCCUAUGCCCUUCACUGGGCGUAGUGGGGAACCAGGACUUUUACCUUGAAAAAAUUAGAGUGUUCAAAGCAGGCAUUUGCUCGAAUACAUUAGCAUGGAAUAAUAAAAUAGGACAUCGGUUCUAUUUUGUUGGUUUCUAGGACCGCUGUAAUGAUUAAUAGGGAUAGUCGGGGGCGUCAGUAUUCAAUUGUCAGAGGUGAAAUUCUUGGAUUUAUUGAAGACUAACUAUUGCGAAAGCAUUCGCCAAGGAUGUUUUCAUUAAUCAGUGAACGAAAGUUAGGGGAUCGAAGACGAUCAGAUGUGGAUACAUUUGCUAUCUGGGGGUUCUAUUCUGCUAAACUAUAUUUAGUCUCUGAAAGAUUCGGCUAAGAAACUAUUCAACUUCAGCAUCCACAUACUCAGUCCAGUCAAUCAACUCAUCGUUGUUGACUUGUCGAUGAGCCCGAAGGCAUUUCUGGGGCCUGUGUACACACAAGUCUCCGCCCGGGCAGUUAUCUCGAAGCCUAUUCAUCCAGCUUGGUUCCCAGCAUAGAUGACCUGCAUUCACACACAACUUGUUAUGACAUAAGUGUGAAAUAACCCAUGUUGCCUCCUUCUCAGUGUCCUUGCCAUUUCUUUUUGUGAUCUGGCGAAACUUUGCGGGAAGGCUUGGAGGAUCAUAUGCAGGAAGGAGGUUUUGUGCCUGCAUCAUGGAAAUGGCGUAUGGCGAAUACCGAGUGACGGUAUCGACACUGCUGAGCUUGCUGAGGAGUAUUGUAUUGUAUUUCUUAUCCAUAACUGGACGAGUGUCUUCUUUGAAAUUCUUCACCGAGAUGCAGCCAAACGAGUUUGUGGUUGUGUCUUGGAUCUUGUCGAAAAGGUUUUGACGGCAUGCUUGGAGGUCACUUCGAGUUGCCAGAAUGUUGAACCAAGACAAUUUUGAGGCACCGCCGACAUUCGUUUUGGCUGUAGGUGUUGCUGGACUUUGAAGAUUGUUUGAAAUUGUUUGUAGUGGUGUUCUUGACUCGGAUUUUGGCUGUUUUGCAGGCUUGUUCGAAGUGAAGGACAGUGAAGAUUGACGCUUGAGAGACUUUUCUGAGGAAUCCAUUGGACUUUCGAAGUUUUGAAGUGAUUUUUGAGAUUUUGAGAGCUUUUGAGGUUUCCAUGAAAGUUGAUGUGAGUUGUGUUGAGAUGUGAGAAUCGAAGUGAAGGGGCCAGCCCUGGGGGGUGUAGUUGCCAUUUCUUGAAUGUCGAACAUUCUAUGGCAACCACACCCAGUAAUCCUGGAAAUGAGGCAGUAACUGCCUCAAGUGGUGGUGGCAGUUACUGCCCCAUUUCGAGACAAAUUUGCCUGCACUUGCCAUAUGAAUCAGCAAUUGAUGAUUGUGGGUUGAAAAACGGCAUACUCGUGCUCACUGCUUCUUGAGAUAUCACUUCUCUCUCAUGCUCAUGCUCAAGUUCAUACUUCAGCUACCUGAUUCGAACCAUAAGUAUAGUUAAGCAAGAUAGGGCCUUGGGAAAAUAAGUAUCCGGUCGUCCAAAGCAUUAAAUUGUUAGUCUGUGCUCUUUUCUGGCACAGGUAACACCAGCCAACUGAGGAACUCUCAUUACUGAAAAGUAUGGGUGAUCUACAGCCAUGCAUUAAGUUUCUGACUUUUUGCCCAGUCUACAGACUGAACGCUGGUGGGCCUCAACUAGUUAGUUGAGGUUUUUGAUAUAGUCG
rnacentral:rRNA from 1 species